CACAAAAAUCAAUCAAUAGCGAGUUAUAGCAGUAUAGAGAUU
rnacentral:guide_RNA from 1 species